rnacentral:rRNA from 1 species
GGUUAAGUUAGAAAGGGCGCACGGUGGAUGCCUUGACACUAGGAGUCGAUGAAGGACGGGACUAACGCCGAUAUGCUUCGGGGAGCUGUAAGUAAGCUUUGAUCCGAAGAUUUCCGAAUGGGGAAACCCACUAUACGUAAUGGUAUGGUAUCCUUAUCUGAAUACAUAGGGUAAGGAAGACAGACCCAGGGAACUGAAACAUCUAAGUACCUGGAGGAAGAGAAAGCAAAUGCGAUUUCCUGAGUAGCGGCGAGCGAAACGGAACAUAGCCCAAACCAAGAGGCUUGCCUCUUGGGGUUGUAGGACAUUCUAUACGGAGUUACAAAGGAACGAGGUAGACGAAGCGACCUGGAAAGGUCCGUCGUAGAGGGUAACAACCCCGUAGUCGAAACUUCGUUCUCUCUUGAAUGUAUCCUGAGUACGGCGGAACACGUGAAACUCCGUCGGAAUCUGGGAGGACCAUCUCCCAAGGCUAAAUACUCCCUAGUGAUCGAUAGUGAACCAGUACCGUGAGGGAAAGGUGAAAAGCACCCCGGAAGGGGAGUGAAAGAGAUCCUGAAACCGUGUGCCUACAAAUAGUCAGAGCCCGUUAACGGGUGAUGGCGUGCCUUUUGUAGAAUGAACCGGCGAGUUACGAUCCCGUGCGAGGUUAAGCUGAAGAGGCGGAGCCGCAGCGAAAGCGAGUCUGAAUAGGGCGUUUAGUACGUGGUCGUAGACCCGAAACCAGGUGAUCUACCCAUGUCCAGGGUGAAGUUCAGGUAACACUGAAUGGAGGCCCGAACCCACGCACGUUGAAAAGUGCGGGGAUGAGGUGUGGGUAGCGGAGAAAUUCCAAUCGAACCUGGAGAUAGCUGGUUCUCCCCGAAAUAGCUUUAGGGCUAGCCUUAAGUGUAAGAGUCUUGGAGGUAGAGCACUGAUUGGACUAGGGGUCCUCAUCGGAUUACCGAAUUCAGUCAAACUCCGAAUGCCAAUGACUUAUCCUUAGGAGUCAGACUGCGAGUGAUAAGAUCCGUAGUCAAAAGGGAAACAGCCCAGACCGCCAGCUAAGGUCCCAAAGUGUGUAUUAAGUGGAAAAGGAUGUGGAGUUGCUUAGACAACUAGGAUGUUGGCUUAGAAGCAGCCACCAUUUAAAGAGUGCGUAAUAGCUCACUAGUCGAGUGACUCUGCGCCGAAAAUGUACCGGGGCUAAAUACACCACCGAAGCUGCGGAUUGAUACCGAAUGGUAUCAGUGGUAGGGGAGCGUUCUAAGGACAGUGAAGUCAGACCGGAAGGACUGGUGGAGUGCUUAGAAGUGAGAAUGCCGGUAUGAGUAGCGAAAGACGGGUGAGAAUCCCGUCCACCGAAUGCCUAAGGUUUCCUGAGGAAGGCUCGUCCGCUCAGGGUUAGUCAGGACCUAAGCCGAGGCCGACAGGCGUAGGCGAUGGACAACAGGUUGAUAUUCCUGUACCACCUCUUUAUCGUUUGAGCAAUGGAGGGACGCAGAAGGAUAGAAGAAGCGUGCGAUUGGUUGUGCACGUCCAAGCAGUUAGGCUGAUAAGUAGGCAAAUCCGCUUAUCGUGAAGGCUGAGCUGUGAUGGGGAAGCUCCUUAUGGAGCGAAGUCUUUGAUUCCCCGCUGCCAAGAAAAGCUUCUAGCGAGAUAAAAGGUGCCUGUACCGCAAACCGACACAGGUAGGCGAGGAGAGAAUCCUAAGGUGUGCGAGAGAACUCUGGUUAAGGAACUCGGCAAAAUGACCCCGUAACUUCGGGAGAAGGGGUGCUUUCUUAACGGAAAGCCGCAGUGAAUAGGCCCAAGCGACUGUUUAGCAAAAACACAGCUCUCUGCGAAGCCGUAAGGCGAAGUAUAGGGGGUGACACCUGCCCGGUGCUGGAAGGUUAAGGAGAGGGGUUAGCGUAAGCGAAGCUCUGAACUGAAGCCCCAGUAAACGGCGGCCGUAACUAUAACGGUCCUAAGGUAGCGAAAUUCCUUGUCGGGUAAGUUCCGACCCGCACGAAAGGUGUAACGAUUUGGGCACUGUCUCAACCAGAGACUCGGUGAAAUUAUAGUACCUGUGAAGAUGCAGGUUACCCGCGACAGGACGGAAAGACCCCGUGGAGCUUUACUGUAGCCUGAUAUUGAAUUUUGGUACAGUUUGUACAGGAUAGGCGGGAGCCUUUGAAACCGGAGCGCUAGCUUCGGUGGAGGCGCUGGUGGGAUACCGCCCUGACUGUAUUGAAAUUCUAACCUACGGGUCUUAUCGACCCGGGAGACAGUGUCAGGUGGGCAGUUUGACUGGGGCGGUCGCCUCCUAAAGUGUAACGGAGGCGCCCAAAGGUUCCCUCAGAAUGGUUGGAAAUCAUUCGUAGAGUGCAAAGGCAUAAGGGAGCUUGACUGCGAGACCUACAAGUCGAGCAGGGACGAAAGUCGGGCUUAGUGAUCCGGUGGUUCCGCAUGGAAGGGCCAUCGCUCAACGGAUAAAAGCUACCCCGGGGAUAACAGGCUUAUCUCCCCCAAGAGUCCACAUCGACGGGGAGGUUUGGCACCUCGAUGUCGGCUCAUCGCAUCCUGGGGCUGUAGUCGGUCCCAAGGGUUGGGCUGUUCGCCCAUUAAAGCGGUACGCGAGCUGGGUUCAGAACGUCGUGAGACAGUUCGGUCCCUAUCCGUCGUGGGCGUAGGAAAUUUGAGAGGAGCUGUCCUUAGUACGAGAGGACCGGGAUGGACGCACCGCUGGUGUACCAGUUGUUCUGCCAAGGGCAUAGCUGGGUAGCUAUGUGCGGAAGGGAUAAGUGCUGAAAGCAUCUAAGCAUGAAGCCCCCCUCAAGAUGAGAUUUCCCAUAGCGUAAGCUAGUAAGAUCCCUGAAAGAUGAUCAGGUUGAUAGGUUCGAGGUGGAAGCAUGGUGACAUGUGGAGCUGACGAAUACUAAUAGAUCGAGGACUUAACCAU